GACGAACGCUGGCGGCGUGCUUAACACAUGCAAGUCGAACGGUGAAGCGCCUUCCUUUUUGGUGGGUGUGGAUGAGUGGCGAACGGGUGAGUAACACGUGAGUAACCUGCCCCCUUCUUCUGGAUAACCGCAUGAAAGUGUGGCUAAUACGGGAUAUUCUGGGUCUGUCGCAUGAUGGGUCUGGGAAAGAUAUUGUUUCGGUGGGGGAUGGGCUCGCGGCCUAUCAGCUUGUUGGUGGGGUGAUGGCCUACCAAGGCGGUGACGGGUAGCCGGCCUGAGAGGGUGGACGGUCACACUGGGACUGAGACACGGCCCAGACUCCUACGGGAGGCAGCAGUGGGGAAUAUUGCACAAUGGGCGCAAGCCUGAUGCAGCGACGCCGCGUGAGGGAUGGAGGCCUUCGGGUUGUGAACCUCUUUCGCCAGUGAAGCAGGCCUGCCUCGUUUGUGGGUGGGUUGACGGUAGCUGGAUAAGAAGCGCCGGCUAACUACGAG
rnacentral:rRNA from 1 species